UCAGGACGAACGCUGGCGGCGUGCCUAAUACAUGCAAGUCGAACGAACUCUGGUAUUGAUUGGUGCUUGCAUCAUGAUUUACAUUUGAGUGAGUGGCGAACUGGUGAGUAACACGUGGGAAACCUGCCCAGAAGCGGGGGAUAACACCUGGAAACAGAUGCUAAUACCGCAUAACAACUUGGACCGCAUGGUCCGAGUUUGAAAGAUGGCUUCGGCUAUCACUUUUGGAUGGUCCCGCGGCGUAUUAGCUAGAUGGUGGGGUAACGGCUCACCAUGGCAAUGAUACGUAGCCGACCUGAGAGGGUAAUCGGCCACAUUGGGACUGAGACACGGCCCAAACUCCUACGGGAGGCAGCAGUAGGGAAUCUUCCACAAUGGACGAAAGUCUGAUGGAGCAACGCCGCGUGAGUGAAGAAGGGUUUCGGCUCGUAAAACUCUGUUGUUAAAGAAGAACAUAUCUGAGAGUAACUGUUCAGGUAUUGACGGUAUUUAACCAGAAAGCCACGGCUAACUACGUGCCAGCAGCCGCGGUAAUACGUAGGUGGCAAGCGUUGUCCGGAUUUAUUGGGCGUAAAGCGAGCGCAGGCGGUUUUUUAAGUCUGAUGUGAAAGCCUUCGGCUCAACCGAAGAAGUGCAUCGGAAACUGGGAAACUUGAGUGCAGAAGAGGACAGUGGAACUCCAUGUGUAGCGGUGAAAUGCGUAGAUAUAUGGAAGAACACCAGUGGCGAAGGCGGCUGUCUGGUCUGUAACUGACGCUGAGGCUCGAAAGUAUGGGUAGCAAACAGGAUUAGAUACCCUGGUAGUCCAUACCGUAAACGAUGAAUGCUAAGUGUUGGAGGGUUUCCGCCCUUCAGUGCUGCAGCUAACGCAUUAAGCAUUCCGCCUGGGGAGUACGGCCGCAAGGCUGAAACUCAAAGGAAUUGACGGGGGCCCGCACAAGCGGUGGAGCAUGUGGUUUAAUUCGAAGCUACGCGAAGAACCUUACCAGGUCUUGACAUACUAUGCAAAUCUAAGAGAUUAGACGUUCCCUUCGGGGACAUGGAUACAGGUGGUGCAUGGUUGUCGUCAGCUCGUGUCGUGAGAUGUUGGGUUAAGUCCCGCAACGAGCGCAACCCUUAUUAUCAGUUGCCAGCAUUAAGUUGGGCACUCUGGUGAGACUGCCGGUGACAACCGGAGGAAGGUGGGGAUGACGUCAAUCAUCAUGCCCCUUAUGACCUGGGCUACACACGUGCUACAAUGGAUGGUACAACGAGUUGCGAACUCGCGAGAGUAAGCUAAUCUCUUAAAGCCAUUCUCAGUUCGGAUUGUAGGCUGCAACUCGCCUACAUGAAGUCGGAAUCGCUAGUA
rnacentral:rRNA from 2 species